CUUGCUUCUAGAGGCAUUACAGUCAUGGCUGCUGUGUCACAUGUGUGUCAGUAGGUAGCAGAGAAGAGAUGGGCUCUGUCCACACUCAGUGUUCUGACCUAUGAACAUCUGACUGAUUAGUAGCCUAACAUU